UCAAAGUGAAAAACAUGCAAAAUACAAUUACAGUUAAGCUAAAACCACCGAUUAAAAGACAAUGCAACUUUUUGCAGGCAAAGUAAAGGAAACAAAGUUUAUAGCAGGCGCCGAAAAGGGUGCAGUGAAGGCGCCUGCUUCGUCUCAAAAGGCAGGGGGUUUCAGAGUGUACUUGCUGCAUCUAGGCUUCUUGGGCAAAGCCUUUCAACAUGCCUAAGUCUUGGCGCAUCUCUUUCUGUAAAAUGAAAGCCUCAUAAUAAUAUUUUUAAAAAAUAAACCACAGUUCUGUCUGGUUCUCUCGCUGCCCAACCCGUCUUUUCAAUUCCCUUCUCUUCAACUGUGGGCACUAAUUCUCCCCGCCUAUGGGGCUAUUUUCCAGUUUUGCUAAGGGGUGAUGCUAAGGGAAGGGUGCGCUCCAGCCCAUCUAGAUUGGUCAAGCAGCGCUUGAAAAGUGAACUUGAAUCUCGCUCCUCCCCAAAAGCCGCCUCCCCAUUGGAGCGCUUCUCUCCAAGGAAAACGCGCCGGCCAAUUGGCAGCCAGGAGGGGCUAUAAAGGCGCCGAACUCCAGAAACCUGGAGCGGGCCUUGAGGAGCAAGGGCAAUUUUGGAAGCGAAAAGCAGCUUUAUUGGAAGAGAGCGAGGCAGCGCUUUUGCAAGAUGAAAACUACCAACAGCCAAGGUAAGAAUAGAGGAUUGUUAAAACGAUUUUUAGUUCACUUGUCUUUAAAAAAUUGCUCAAAUGAAUGAUAUAAAUUAAGGGUUAUAAAUUCAACGGUUUUUAUAAAUGGAGGGUGUUUUUGUUUCUGGGUCAGGAUCAGGGUGUAGAGACGGCUUUCAAAGACCCAUUUGUGGUAGCCGGGGAGGGAUUACACAGGGGCUCAAAUGUCUUCGGUUGGAAACAUUUCGCAAGAUUGGUUUGCACCUCUUUCCUUAUAAGCAUGAAGCAUUUAGUGCAUUUUACUGCAUGAAGCAUUUACACACACACUUUCUGAUUGUUAAAUCCCUUUCACAUAAACGGGAUUAAAUUUCCCAAUAAUCGUGGUUAGGAUCGGCUGCGGAAAACGAUGGCAGGCAUAGAAAUAAGAACGUAAACUUCUUACUUAAAAUUCUUUGGUUUGUUUUCAUGCAAGCCUUGUUCAGAGCAACCGGAGGUUUAUUUAAAAUUAGUGUCCAUUGUUAAGGCAAAACCAAUUCAGGGAGGAAGAUCUGCAAGCGUCUCUUCAGUUUAUGCCGAGCGCUUCCUUCAGAUUUGCCUCUUUGUCUUUUCCCAGGAGGAAGCUACCCCAAAGUCGGAGGAGAAAGGCGAAAAGGACUGUUUUUAGCCCAUCUCACGUCGAGCUCCUAAAAAAGUCCUUUGCAGAGAACCAGUACCCCGGAUACGAGACCAGGGAGGCGCUGGCGAGGUGCAUCGGAGUCGAAGAAGAUCGUGUGCAC